UCGUAGCCCGGAUAGCAGCGGCAUCCUUCCUGUGGCUCCUUUAGCCACAGGAAGAUACAGCGGAUAGCCGGAAAUAGC
rnacentral:sRNA from 1 species